CUAAUUCAUAUAAGGAGGUAGAAGUUUGCGGUUACAGUUAAGUCGAUGAUAUAUAAAAAGAUACAGGCUCAAAUGACUCAUUCAUGAAAAAAAACUAAAGAGACUCUAUUCCAACCCAGGCUUCCCGCACGCUUGCUUCCUGAUGUUUAUGUCCUCCUGAAUGCGAAGAAGCAGCUGCAUAGGCGAUAGGAAUUUAUUUUCAAAGAUCCUCCUGUUGCGCUCAUUCCAUAUAUUCCAUGCCGUUAUGAUGCAGUAGGCCGCCAAUGAUCUCCGCUGCUUCCUACUGAUAUUGGCCAUUGUUUGUGUCCACCAUUGCUCGGUUGAUUCAUACCCAUCUCCAGGAAUGGGAACCUUCCUUCCCGUCCAGUUGGACACCAACAUCCAUAGGAGCAGGUGAGGCACAAGUGCAGAGCCGUUUCGUUUUCUUGGUCACAAAGCUUGCAUGUUGGUUCACACUCCCAGUUUUUUGCAUCAUCUUGUCCGCUGUUAAUACCCUUUCUCCUGUGUUUAUUUUCCACAUGUGCAGUCCAAAUGCUAUUGCUGGAAAAUGAACAGUACAUUCCUUUCAGCUGUGCUUGAUACGCUGAUUUGGACGUGUAUUUUCCAUUUGUCGUCCAUUUCCAAAAUAUCCUGUCAUCUUCCUGAUCAUUUAGCUGGACAGUUUGGACCAAGUCCUGCAAAUUCACAAAUUCCGCCAUCUCCUGCUGCACUAGUGCGAGGCUGCGAGCACAAUGUAUUUUACUGUCUUUUCUUGAGAUGUUACCACCCACUGUCAGUUGCUCUGAUUUGUGUUAACAGUCUAUGAUCUCAAAUCUGAAGGCUCUGUGUUCCUGGACUGCAUUUCUCGCAGCAAGUUUUGACAUCCUGCCCUGGUACUACAACUGUGGAUUCAGGCACAAAGAUGAUCCAUCAUCGGCCUCAACGCAAAAAGGCUGCCACAUUCUCUGAUCCAUCGCCCUGGACCCUGCGUUGCAAGCUUGGACAAGGAGGCAGGUCGCCGCCGGCGAAAACGGCGACGUGGUUCGAGACGGCGGCCGCGUGCGGCAAUCUGGCGGAGCCGGCUGGCUGGCCAUCUCCGUGCCCGGGGCCAUGGACACGCUUUGCCCAGACCUGAUCGGGCCAGCUUCUCUCAAACGAUGAAGCGGCCGGCAAGGUCUCGCCGCGUCGUCGACCGGCGGUCACUCGCCGCCGAGCCCGAGCACACCCGCCGUGCCGCCGCCGUCCCCGUCCGGCCUCCAGCAUCGCGCCUGCCUGACGACUAACCAGGACGACCGUGCCCCUGCCUGUGCAGACCUCGCCCGAUCCGGACCGCACGUGCUCGAUCCAACGGCAUAAAGUGACCCAGGGGGCGGACGGUAUUUGAAAUACCGUCCACCCGUCCCCUGGACCCUGGUCGUCGCAGCAACGCCACCUCCGCUGCAUGCCGUGGCUCGCCGGAGCACAGCCGCGCCGGCCUGCCAGUAAGCGUCGACUUCCUGCGUCCUGUCGAGCUUCGCCGCGAGCGACGAGAGGACGCGUCUCCGUUCAGAUUGGACCGGCUGCAUGCAUCGCAUACGCCGAUGCGCGACAUGCGCUACGACCUCCACGACGCCAUCGCAGAGUCCAUGCGGCUGUACCCGGUGUCGCCCGUCGACGCGCGCAUCUAACCUGUGCGCGCUGUGGUGCCACGCGCCAUCACCUAACCCUGCUCGCGUGCGCCGCCGUGACGCCACGUGACUCAGGUGGCGCGCGCACGCCGGGAUAACGUUCGCCUUCGUCUUCGCCACGCACUCGCCUCCAUGGCCGCGCGCAGCGCGUCCGCACAGGGAAGGUACACACGCGACACACGGCUGACCCCAAUGGCAUCGUCUUCGCUCGCUUGCUGCCUCGUUAGGCUUGUCGCCGGCGGUCGGGCACCAGGUGUUCCGUGUUCGCUGCUUUGCCUGGCGAAGGACCAACGAUCAGGAAUGUGCAUGAGCACGCCUGCCGGCGGCCGGCCGGCCUCAGCCUUGAAGUCUAGGUUCAUAUUCAAAUUUGCUCUUUGUUUUCACUAUUUAAAAGUCCGUACUGGUCCCCGCGCUUCAAACCAAUUGGCAAUUUGAAUUUGCAUACCGGAUUAUGCCGAAUCGCUGCCUUUUUCAAACUGUCACGUGAAUCCUUUCCUUUUUUUUUUGCCAAAGAACAUCACACGUUAUUGUUUUGAUGACAUCACUUUGGAAUGGAAAAAAAAGGCCGAGCCAUGCUCACCUCAAUUUGCGGCCAAGUGCCUUCUUGAAUGACACUCCAACUAACACUAGCGUAGCUCUAGUGCUCUGCAUAUGUAGUUGCCGUUUAACUGAACUGCGCAGAGUGCGUGUACCCAAAAUGAAAAAACAAAAACUUUAGAGCACUACAUCUGUAGAUUCAGGCACAAGAUCCAUCACCAGCCUCAACGCAAACGGCAGUGAUCAUCUGAUGUAGCCCCCGGCCCCACGCUCGGCCGCGCCCGCGCUGCGCGCGGCCAUGGAGGCGGCGGUGGCGCGGCGACGGCUCCGCCGCCGGUGCACUCCCGGGCAGGCCGGCCUUUCCCCCGAGAGAGCAGAACGUGGCGCGGCUGCCGUGCGAGCGUGGCGUAGGCGCCGGAGACCCGGAGUUCCCCCGCACAGCGUGGCAUCGCGUCGUCGAACACGGAGUUUGCUGCAGUGCUCGCUGUUCAGCUGCAGUGUCAGGAGUACUUGAUGGGCAAGAACAUCCACUGAAUGGCCUUUAGCAGUAAACAUCGGCAGGUAAAAAGAUCAGUGCAAUACUUGUCUCUCCAAACAAUAGAUACGUAGAUUGUGCAUGAAUUCACUUCGUUUUCGCAAGCUGUUAAUCGCAUUCGGUUCAGUAACUUUCAUAUAGGCAGAGGAAGUUGCAAAGUAACAGUCUGUUCCUUCCAGCAUAAGUCUGUAGAUUCA